rnacentral:rRNA from 1 species
AUUGAACGCUGGCGGCAUGCUUUACACAUGCAAGUCGAACGGUAACAGGUUAAGCUGACGAGUGGCGAACGGGUGAGUAAUGCAUCGGAACGUGCCCGAUCGUGGGGGAUAACACUUCGAAAGAAGUGCUAAUACCGCAUACGAUCUGAGGAUGAAAGCGGGGGACCGUAAGGCCUCGCGCGAUCGGAGCGGCCGAUGUCAGAUUAGGUAGUUGGUGGGGUAAAGGCUCACCAAGCCGACGAUCUGUAGCUGGUCUGAGAGGACGACCAGCCACACUGGGACUGAGACACGGCCCAGACUCCUACGGGAGGCAGCAGUGGGGAAUUUUGGACAAUGGGCGCAAGCCUGAUCCAGCAAUGCCGCGUGCAGGAAGAAGGCCUUCGGGUUGUAAACUGCUUUUGUACGGAGCGAAAAGGCUCUCUCUAAUACAGGGGGCUGAUGACGGUACCGUAAGAAUAAGCACCGGCUAACUCUGUGCCAGCAGCCGCCGUAA